CUUCAACAAAGCCCUCCACAAACACACAAACAGUGUCUCAAGAGACGACAAGGGCAAACUGUGCAGGGAAAUAUUAUGUUCGCCAGGUGUGUGCUGGCCAUUCAGACAAACUGCAUGAAAACACCCCAGAGGAAAAGGACACUCCACCAAAUGUUACGAGGCAAAGACAAAUCAUAUGUAUGUGUCUUGGACCAUGUGUUGUGCGAGGAUAAUUACUCCUCAAUCCUGGAGCCUGUAAGUCUGCACUGAAGCACUCUGCUUGGUCCCUGCAGGGCUGGAUGCUGAUAGCAGGGAAUUGGUGUAAUUGGGGUGCCAUUAAGACAAACAAUUCCAGAUCUUAGUUUUGUGAUUAGAGCUAUUGUUCCAAAAUGCAUGUCCUAAGAAAAUGCCUGCCCAUCACUUCGGUCCAGACUUAAAAAUGUACAACAAGAUGAAAUAACAUUAAACUUGUUCCCUAUUCCUAUA